CCAAUAGCGUAUAUUAAAGUUGUUGCAGUUAAAAAGCUCGUAGUUGAAUUUCGAGAUCGGCUUACUGGUCGUGCUUUUGUACGUACUGGUAAAUCGGUUUCUCCUUUCUGACGAACUUUAAUGCCAUUAAUUUGGUGUUUUAGGGAAUCAGGACUGUUACUUUGAAAAAAUUAGAGUGUUUAAAGCAGGCUCACGCUUGAAUACAUUAGCAUGGAAUAACGGAAUAGGACGUUUGAUUCUAUUUUGUUGGUUUCUAGGAUCGACGUAAUGAUUAAUAGGGAUAGUUGGGGGCAUUAGUAUUCAAUUGUCAGAGGUGAAAUUCUUGGAUUUAUUGAAGACUAACUACUGCGAAAGCAUUUGCCAAGGAUGUUUUCAUUAAUCAAGAACGAAAGUUAGGGGAUCGAAGACGAUCAGAUACCGUCGUAGUCUUAACCAUAAACUAUGCCGACUAGGGAUCGGAUGAUGUUAAUUUUUUAAUGACUCGUUUGGCACCUUACG
rnacentral:misc_RNA from 1 species